rnacentral:misc_RNA from 1 species
GAAUUUGCGAAAAAGAAAAAUUUGACAUUUGUGGCUUUUCUUUGUUGGUAUUAUUUUAUUUUGUGUGGCUGAAGUUGAAAGUUAUUUUGUGAAAUAUUUGCAUAAAUGCAUAUUAAUUGAUACUAGGUAACACAUUCUAAGGAACAAAAGUUAUAUUAUAUUUACCCUAAAAUAUCUACAGUUUUACCCGAUAAAUUGGUGUGCUUAUAUAUGUAGAUAUACUAUGGAGUGGAAUUACUAAAGAUACAAUUGAAUAAACAACAAUUAAUAUAUGUACAUUAGAGUGAAGUACGAAUAUGACUUUAAUCCAUCUUAUUGACCUACUAGACUACACUCAAACAAAUAAAAAUGAGUCAGUUUCCUACUACGUCAUGGAGUAGGAUGUGUGUUCAAACAUGCAUAUAUAUCGGUGGCAAAAUAUAGUGAAAUGCUUAUCAGUGUUAGUACAAAAACAAAAGUAAAUAAACACAUUGAGCAGAAAGAAACAGUGGAGUAUGUAUCGAAAGUUAUUAUAGUUAUUAAUUUUUUUACAUACCCAAUUCAUAUUGAAAAUCACAUACGGCUAUUUAAGUACUAGUAAAAGUAGAUUAUGUCAGUUAGUGAUGCCGAUGAAAUACGAUCAGCUGCUGAAUUGCUGAUAACAAGCUCUAGACAGCCUAUGGCCUAUCGCAGUACAAUGAGUGGGCCAAUGUCCCCCAACUAUGAUAUGUCACGUACACAUUCCAUCAAUUUGAUCACCGAAGAAUUUCUCGGCGGUUAUAUGCAGGAUGGACGCAUGUCCGUGGUACGUCGGUUUUUCUGCCUCUUCGUGCUGUUCGACUUGUUUUUCGUAUCGUUACUGUGGUUAAUAUGCAUAAUGAUCAAUGGAGACAAUAUAUUUCAAGCAUUUCAGAAACAAAUCGUCCAUUACACGUUUGGCACGUCUUUAUUCGAUGUAGUGGGAGCCGCCAUAUGCCGUUUUGUAGUACUCACAUUUUUUUAUGCGUUAAUGUACAUAAACCAUUGGAUUAUAAUUGCAUUAUCUACGAGUGGUUCAUGCCUAUUUUUAAUCUCCAAAGUCUUCGUUUAUGAUUGGGUUGAUUCGCGCCAACAGGUUUUCGAGGUGAUACUGAUUAUAACAUCAUUUGUAUUGGCUUGGGGAGAGGCUUGGUUUCUGGAUUGUCGUGUUAUACCACAAGAGCGCCACGCGCGCAGCUAUUUUUCCUCAAUAACAACUCCCGAACAGCGUUCGCCGAUGAUGGCUCCAUUUUUGGCUUCCCAACCGGGUCCUAAUGUGCCGGAGAGUAUUUUUUAUUCACCACUAGAAACAGUGCACAACAGUGAUGACGACGACGAUGAACAGGAUGAAGAAUAUCAUCAAAUGGCUUUGGAUUGUGUGCGUAGAGCAUACGAACUUUUCGAAUCUCCCGAUUGGAAAGUGGAAAAGGUGACGAGCAAAGGUGAUACUAUACGUAGUACUCAACGUGAGAAGCUGGGAAAAAUUUAUCGACUUACAGGACGUAUCAAAUAUCCAGCCAAGGCACUGCUGGAAGAACUCUUCUAUAGAAUUGAAAGUGUGCCUAAGUGGAAUCCGACUUUACUGGAAUCGAAAAUUGUGCAUAAAAUUAACUCCUACACAGAUAUUACAUACCAAGCCAGUGUGGGCGGUGGCGGUGGUAUAGUAAAGAGUCGCGAUUUCAUUAAUUUACGUUGUUGGCGACUCUUCCGUAAUGGCAAAAUGUGUGAAGAAUCCGAUAAUGACGAUGACGUCGAUAGUGGCAGUGAUACGGCUGGUCCGGCUAGUGUUUCCACCGUCUCCGAUGAUGACUCUGCAACGACUACACAACCCAGCAGUGUCGAAAGCAAUCGUGCGAAAUUCUCCAGCAGUGGCAGUGUAAAGGGUAUGCGUGAAAGCGCUGGCGUUGAUGAAGAAAAUCGCAGUGGACGUGGUGGUCCUGCUUUUAAAACAUUAAGCAAAAGUUUGGGUGCUAAAGAUUUCAGCACGAUUGUGCGUAUUGAUCCAGAUGAACCGCCACCAUUCGAAGAGGACACAUUCGAGGAUGCGCAUGAUAAUGUUGAUGAUUUGACGCGUCUAGUGCAGAAAGAGGCACGUGCGGAAAUCCAAACUGCACAACAGGAAAGUGCUGAUAUUGGCGAUGGUGCGGCCGUAAGCGGUGCGCUGGGUGCGAAGGGCAGCAAAAAUAAAGUUUAUUUGAGUGCGGCCAUUAGUAUUGAUUAUGCGCCGGUGCCGAUCACUACGAAGUAUGUACGUGGUGAAAAUAUUGUCGCCGGAUUUGCAAUUCAUGAGAUUGCUGGUAAAUCGGAUUCUUGCAUAUUCGACUGGAUUCUGUGUUUGGACUUAAAGGGUUACGUACCACGUUAUGUUUUAGACACUGCCUACACUACUUUCAUGAAUGACUAUAUGAAAUAUUUACGUAAAUAUGCAGCUGAACUACGCACAAAACGCAAGCGUACCUCUAGAAAAUAGCUGAAGUUAAAUAUGAUCGACAACAACAACAUGGUCGAUAUAUAGCUGCUAACAAAAGCGGGUAUUAUGUAGUAGUAAAUAAGUUUUUGUAGCUUUAGUUUCCAUUAUGUGUGUGUGGAAUGUAUUUUUUUACAAUAUAGUGCACAAACAUUUUCAUUUAUACCCACAAAAACAAAGAAAACAACUAAAAAAGAAAACUAACAACACCCUAAAAUCAAUAUAGUACUUUAAAAUUGUUUAAAAAAUCAAAAAAAUAGGAAAAUUAUAGAACUGACAUAGAUCUUUAUUAUUGUAAUAGUUUUAUAAAUCAACUGUUACUAUUUAAAAUUGAACAAGUUAUAACGCUACAUAAUUAAUUGCUAAUAAUUGCUAAAAAGAAGUUUAAAAAUGUUGCCCAAAGCUUUGCUAACUCUUUACUAUAAAAUUGAAAAGUUGAAUAUUUUUUUACACGAUUAGGUUUGUCAAUGUAAGAAAAAAGUGUAAUUAUGUUAGAGCAAGUGUUCCAAGCUCCGCUAUAUUCAUACAAUAUAAAAAAUCAUUUCAUUCAAAUAUCCGUGCGAGAUUUUUUCGGCAUUUUGUGUCUGUGUGGCAUGUAAAAAUUCAUCAUUUUUUUUUUUAAUAUUUCAUGACAUAUUAAGUGAUAGUAUACAAUUUGUAAACAUUUAACAGUAAAUAUAAUGUAACAAAUAUAAAACAAUAAUCAAAAUCAAAA